GUUCAUACUUAACUUAAAUUUAUUCAAAGAUAAUUUACUUUAAAUCUAUGUACGAUUCUUCAAAUAGCUACCAAAUUAAUUGAAAUAUAUAUUGGGUGCUUAAUAACAACUUUUCUUUAUAUUUGUAAAUCUAAUAACAUAUUGGAUAGUGUUGUUUCUUCAUACAUAUUUAUUCGCAUAGAUUUCAAGAAAAGAAAAAAGAAAAAUCACUGAUAGUAGUAGACGUUUACAUCACAAAUAAGUUGUCAUAUGAUAGUGAUCAGAAAAAUAAAAGGCUCUUUUAAUUAACACAUAAUAUAAUAAUGUACAUAUUUAAUUAUUUUUAGCUUUAUUUGAUGAUACUAUUAUUAACAAUAAUUAUAAAGUACCUACAGUGUUCUAAGGAAAAUAUAGGUAACUCAUCAUGGUAAGAGUAAAAGCUCUGUUGGGACCCGGAUGUUUGUAUUGAAAAUAUGUAUGUUUAGAUCCUGAAAAUUAGGGACACUAUGAUGAUACUCUCACUGCAGCUAAAUCAACAGGAUGAAUACAAAAAAGGAUAACAUUGAAUAUUACUUUCCAGUCAUUACUAUCUCUAAUCAAAAUACCACUUAUCCAUCUACUUACAGUAUAUACGGUUCAUAAUUAAUCAAUGAUGUAAAAAUCACACCGAGUGUGUCUCCAUUAGUAAACUGCAAUAAUAAACAACAUUUGAAAUUUCAAUAAUGGUGGACUUCAGAAUAGUCUUGCUGGUAUGCUGUCUGGUCAGGUUAUCACGUGCCAUGCACAUCCCUCAACCCGACCUAUACUGGUACAACAUCUAUAAGUAUUGUGGGUCAAGGCUGGCAGACGAGCUGCAAGUCAUUUGCAGAGGAAAGUACAAUGAAGUACCAGCUAAUGAGAACGAGCUGUCUAUGGAGGAGACAAUUGGCAUUGUCGCUGGUUGUCAACGAAUGCUGUACAAUGCCCUGCAAUAGAUGGACGUUGAAAAUGUAUUGUGCAUCAGAUCCCCUAUCCUAGGUACUUAACCAAUACAAAUAUGUAAUAAAUUAUCAAAUUAUGUGGAUCCACAUCAAUCUGUGCCAAUUAGUUUCAUUCAAUUUACUAACAUUUAUUAUUAUACCAAAACUA